rnacentral:rRNA from 1 species
GAUGAACGCUAGCGGCAGGCUUAAUACAUGCAAGUCGAGGGGCAGCGCGGGUAGCAAUACCUGGCGGCGACCGGCAAACGGGUGCGGAACACGUACGCAACCUUCCCAUAACAGGUGAAUAGCCUUCCGAAAGGGAGAUUAAUACACCGUAACAUAACGAAGUGGCAUCACUUUGUUAUUAUAGGCUUCGGCCGGUUUUGGAUGGGCGUGCGGCUGAUUAGGUAGUUGGCGGGGUAACGGCCCACCAAGCCUGCGAUCAGUAACUGGUGUGAGAGCACGACCAGUCACACGGGCACUGAGACACGGGCCCGACUCCUACGGGAGGCAGCAGUAAGGAAUAUUGGUCAAUGGACGCAAGUCUGAACCAGCCAUGCCGCGUGAAGGA